rnacentral:rRNA from 1 species
GACGCUGAAGAGAGGAGCUUGCUCUUCUUGGAUGAGUUGCGAACGGGUGAGUAACGCGUAGGUAACCUGCCUUGUAGCGGGGGAUAACUAUUGGAAACGAUAGCUAAUACCGCAUAACAAUGGAUGACACAUGUCAUUUAUUUGAAAGGGGCAAUUGCUCCACUACAAGAUGGACCUGCGUUGUAUUAGCUAGUAGGUGAGGUAACGGCUCACCUAGGCGACGAUACAUAGCCGACCUGAGAGGGUGAUCGGCCACACUGGGACUGAGACACGGCCCAGACUCCUACGGGAGGCAGCAGUAGGGAAUCUUCGGCAAUGGGGGCAACCCUGACCGAGCAACGCCGCGUGAGUGAAGAAGGUUUUCGGAUCGUAAAGCUCUGUUGUAAGUCAAGAACGAGUGUGAGAGUGGAAAGUUCACACUGUGACGGUAGCUUACCAGAAAGGGACGGCUAACUACGUGCCAGCAGCCGCGGUAAUACGUAGGUCCCGAGCGUUGUCCGGAUUUAUUGGGCGUAAAGCGAGCGCAGGCGGUUUGAUAAGUCUGAAGUUAAAGGCUGUGGCUCAACCAUAGUUCGCUUUGGAAACUGUCAAACUUGAGUGCAGAAGGGGAGAGUGGAAUUCCAUGUGUAGCGGUGAAAUGCGUAGAUAUAUGGAGGAACACCGGUGGCGAAAGCGGCUCUCUGGUCUGUAACUGACGCUGAGGCUCGAAAGCGUGGGGAGCGAACAGGAUUAGAUACCCUGGUAGUCCACGCCGUAAACGAUGAGUGCUAGGUGUUGGAUCCUUUCCGGGAUUCAGUGCCGCAGCUAACGCAUUAAGCACUCCGCCUGGGGAGUACGACCGCAAGGUUGAAACUCAAAGGAAUUGACGGGGGCCCGCACAAGCGGUGGAGCAUGUGGUUUAAUUCGAAGCAACGCGAAGAACCUUACCAGGUCUUGACAUCCCGAUGCUAUUUCUAGAGAUAGAAAGUUACUUCGGUACAUCGGUGACAGGUGGUGCAUGGUUGUCGUCAGCUCGUGUCGUGAGAUGUUGGGUUAAGUCCCGCAACGAGCGCAACCCCUAUUGUUAGUUGCCAUCAUUCAGUUGGGCACUCUAGCGAGACUGCCGGUAAUAAACCGGAGGAAGGUGGGGAUGACGUCAAAUCAUCAUGCCCCUUAUGACCUGGGCUACACACGUGCUACAAUGGUUGGUACAACGAGUUGCGAGUCGGUGACGGCAAGCUAAUCUCUUAAAGCCAAUCUCAGUUCGGAUUGUAGGCUGCAACUCGCCUACAUGAAGUCGGAAUCGCUAGUAAUCGCGGAUCAGCACGCCGCGGUGAAUACGUUCCCGGGCCUUGUACACACCGCCCGUCACACCACGAGAGUUUGUAACACCCGAAGUCGGUGAGGUAACCUUUNNAGCCAGCCG